UGCUUAUUUGGGGUCUUCUUUCUUUUCUUCUUUAUUAGUCUAGCUAGUGGUCUCUCUUAUCAAUUUUUUUCAAAAAACCAGCUCCUGGAUUUGUUGAUCUUUCUAAUUUUGUUUUUCAGUUGUGGCAGGCAGUGGUUGAGACAGAGUCUCUGUCACCCAGGAUGGAGUACAGUGAUACAAUCUCAGAUCACUGGAAUCUCUGCCUCCCAGAUUCAAGUGAUUCUCAUGCCUCAGCCUCCUGAGAAGCUGGGAUUACAGACAUGCACCACCAUGCCUGGCUAAUUUUUGUAUUUUUAAUAGAGACAGGGUUUCACCAUGUUGCCCAGGCUGGUCUUGUACUCCUGACCUCAAGUGAUCCACCCACCUUGGCCUCCUAAACUUCUGGGAUUACAGGCGUGAAUGGUUUUUUGUGUCUCAAUCUCCUUAAGUUCAGCUCUGAGUUCAGUUAUUUCUUGUCAUUUGCUUGCUUUGGUUUGCUCUUGCUUCUCUCGUUCUUUUUGUUAUGAUGUUAGGUCAUUAAUUUGCAAUCUUUCUAAUUUUUUGAUGUGUGCAUUUAGUGCUAUAAAUUUCCCUCUUAACACUGUCUGAGCUGUGUCCCAGAGAUUCUGGUAUGUUGUAUCUUUAUUCUCCUUAGUUUCAAAGAACUUCUUGAUUUCUGCCUUAAUUUCAUUAUUUACCCAAAAAUCAUUCAGGACUGGGUUAUUCAAUUUCCAUGUAACUGUAUGGUUUUGAGCGAUUUUUUUCCUUUUUUUUUUGAAAUGGAGUUUCACUGUUUUUGCCCAGGCUGGAGUGCAAUGGCACAAUCUUGGCUCACCGCAACCUCCGCCUCCCGGGUUCAAGUGAUUCUCCUACCUCAGCCUCCUGAGUAGCUGGCAUUACAGGCAUUUGCCACCAUGCCCAGCUAAUUUUGUAUUUUUUAGUAGAGACAGGGUUUCUCCAUGUUGGCCAUGCUGGUCUUGAACUCCCGACCUCAGGUGAUCCACCCUCCUCGGCCUCCCAAAGUGUUGAGAUUACAGGAGUGAGCCACCGCGCCCGGCCUUGAGCUAUUUUCUUCAUCUUGAUUUCUAUUUGAAUUGCACUGUGGUCCAAGAGAGUGGUUGGUAUGAUUUCAGUUCUCUUGCAUUUGCUGAGGAUUGUUUUAUGUCUGAUUAUGUGGUUGAUUUUAGAGUAUGUGCCAUGUGGUUAUGAGAAGAAUGUAUAUUCUUUUGGUUUUGGGUGGAGGGUUCAGUAGAUGUCUAUCAGGUCCAUUUGGUCCAGCGUUGAGUUCAGUUCCUGAAUAUCUUUGUGAAUUUUCUGCUUCAGUGAUCUGUCCGAUACUGUCAGUGGGAUGUUGAAGUCUGUCACUGUUAUUAUGUGGGAAUCUAAGUCUCUUUGAAGGUCUUUAAGAACUUGCUUUAUGAAUGUAAGUGCUACUGUGUUGAGUGCAUAUAUAUUUAGGAUAGUUAGGUCUUCCUGUUGAAUUGAACACUUUACCACCAUGUAAUGCCCUUCUUUGCCGUUUUUUGAUCUUUGUUGGUUUAAAGUCUGUUUUCUCUGAAAUUAAGAUUGCAACCCCUGCUUCUUUCUGUUUUUUAUUUACUUGGUUGAUUUUUCUCCAUCUCUUUAUUUUGAAUCUGUGGGUGUCAUUGCAUGUGAGAUGGGUUUUUGAAGACAGCAUACCAAUGGGUCUUUCUUCUUUAUCCAGCUUGCCACUCUGUGCCUUUUAAUUGGGGCAUUUAGCUUGUUUGCAUUCAAGGUUAGUAUUGAUAUUUGUGGAUUUGAACUGUCAUUGUGUUGUUAGCUGUAUAUUAUGCCAACUUGUUUUAUAGCAUUACUGGUCUGUGUACUUCAGUGUAUUUUUGUAGUGGUUGGUAACAGUCUUUCUUUUCCAUAUUUAGUGCUUCCUUCAGGACCUCUUGCAAGGCUAAUCUGGUGGUAAUGAAUUCCCUAAGCAUUUGCUUGUCUGACAAUAAUCUUAUUCCUCCUUCACUUAUGAAGCUUAAUUUGGCUGGAUAUGAAAUUCUUAGUUGGAAUUUCUUUUCUUUAAUAAUGUUGAAUAUUGGCCCCCAAUCUCUUCUGGCUUGUAGGGUUUCUGCUGAGAGGUCCACUGUCAGCCUGAUGAGCCUCCGUUUUUAGGUGACCUGACCUUUCUCUCUAGCUGCCUUUAAUGUUUUUUUCUUUCAUUUUGAACUGGAGAAUCUGAUGAUUUGUGUCUUGGAGAUACUCUUUUGAAGCAUUUUGUGGGGGUUCUCUGCAUUUCCUGAAUUUGAAUGUUGGUCUCUUUAACUAGGUUGGGGAAGUUGUCAUCGAUAUCCUGAAAUAUGUUUUUUAAAUUAUUUCCAUUCUCCUCAUCUCUUUCAGGGAUGCCAGUGAGUUGUAGAUUCAGUCUCUACAUAAUCCCAAAUUUCUUGGAGGUUUUGUUUAUUCCUUUUCAUUCUUUUCUCUUUAUUCUUGUCUAACUGUCUUAUUUCAGAAAGCCAGUCUUCAAGCUCUGAGAUUCUUUCCUCAGCUUGGUCUAUUCUGUUAUUAAUAUCUGCAAUUGCAUUAUUAAAUUCUUCUAGUGUGUUUUUCAGCCCUAUCAGAUUGGUUACAUUCUUUUUUAUACUGGCUAUUUUGUCUGCCAGCUCCUGUAUCAUUUUAUUGUGAUUCCUAGCUUCCUCAGAUUGGGUUUCAAUGUUCUUCUGAAUCUCUAUAAUCUUCACUCCUAUCCAUACUCUGAAUUCUAUUUCUGUCAUUUCAGCCAUCUCAGCCCGCUUAAGAAUCCUUGCUGGAGAGGUAGUGUAGUCACUGGGAGAAAAGAAGACACUCUGGCUUUUUGAGUUGUCAGAGUUCUUGUGCUGGUUCUUUCUCAUCUUUGUGGGCCAAUCUUCCUUCAAUCUUUGAAGGUGCUGUCCUUUGGAUAUUUUUUUUCUUUUAUCCUACUUGAUGACAUUGGAGGCUUGAUUGUGAUAUAAGGUUAGGAACAUGCUGCACUGGAGGGGUCAAAGUGCUUCCAAACUGAAUGGCUAUUCGCAACAUCCAUGCCAAUGGAUGGUGACAAGCAAAGCACUUCAUAGGGUGAUGGCAUCAGGAUCUGUCCUUGUUCACAUGUGCCAGCAGCAGUGGCAGCAGAAAAGUGGUAAGAUGCAUGCUCAUCAGCUGUGGCUGGGUGCUAGUGGGUGCUGGGUUGCUGGCUUCCAUGAGGGUGUUCACAGCAGCUGCAGGGCAGCACGGCUGGGUGGGGAUGCCAUUAGCAACUGUGCACGUGUUCACAGUUGUGGUGGUGUUAGCAUAGGGGUGGGGUGCUGGUGGGCACAAGACUGUGUGCACCCUCUGUGAGCAUUCCCACAGGCAGCAGUGGCUGGGUCCACUGUUCUCCAUGACUCGUUUUGCACCAGUGGCAGUGUUGGCUCAGGGACAGGUGCUGGCAGGCAUGGGGCUGGUGGGCUCCAUGCCCACCAAAGUUCUGAUGACAGUGGUGGUGUGGCCAGAGGAUUGGGA
rnacentral:lncRNA from 1 species